GUGAGGAAUAUUGGUCAAUGGGCGAGAGCCUGAACCAGCCAAGUAGCGUGGAGGAUGACGGCCCUACGGGUUGUAAACUCCUUUUAUCAGGGGAUAAAGUCCACUACGUGUAGUGGUUUGCAGGUACCUGAUGAAUAAGGACCGGCUAAUUCCGUGCCAGCAGCCGCGGUAAUACGGAAGGUCCGGGCGUUAUCCGGAUUUAUUGGGUUUAAAGGGAGCGCAGACGGGCUGUUAAGCGUGACGUGAAAUCCGGGGGCUCAACCUUCGGCUGCGUCGCGAACUGGCGGCCUUGAGUGGACGGUAGGCAGGCGGAAUUCGUGGUGUAGCGGUGAAAUGCUUAGAUAUCACGAAGAACCCCGAUUGCGAAGGCAGCUUGCCGCAGUCUUACUGACGUUCAUGCUCGAAGGUGCGGGUAUCGAACAGG
rnacentral:rRNA from 1 species